GCUAUAUUGUGUGUUUUAUAUAUCAUCGAAAGAUGUCUCAUAUGUAACAUUUCUUUACUAUAUUGAAAAAUAUAAAUUCAAAUUGAUAUAAAUAAAAAUAUAAAUUCAAAUUGAUUGUUAAUUCAUAAAUAUAACAAUUCUAAAGUGAUUUCCUUCCUUUUCAGAAAGAUUUUCAGGAAAUCUGAUUGUGAUUAAGGAAACUUUGGUCAAAAUAAUAUUGAUAUUAAUUCAGGAAGCUCAUCUUUUCCUUCUAAUGCUAUUUUAUCUAAUCUGUGAAUCUUUUUACUUCUAAGGCAUUGAGCAAUGCUAUUUUCCAAGACACUGAAAACAUCACUUCUGCCAUGUUUCUCUCCCAAAACAUGUUCAUGCCUGUGGGAGACUUAAUAGCUAUAGAAAUCAAGUGCCAAAUAUAUAUCAGUAGGGCUUAAUCAGAAAUCAAACCCAGCCAGAGAUUUAUAUCUAUAAAUGAUACCCAAUAUAUAAAAAAUUUAUAAAUUCUCUUAACUUCUUUUUCCUUUAUCUUUUUUUUAUAUCUGACAUCUAUAUUAGUCAUAUUUCUGCCACUGUGACAAAAUCUCUAAGAAAAUCAACUUCAAAGAGGAAAAAUUUAUUUGGCUCACAGUUUCAGAAAUUUCAGUCCAUGGUCAUCUGGCUCAGUCGCUGUGGAACUGUGAUGAAGCAAAGUAUCUUGGCAGAGAAGGUAUUUUGAAGCAGAGCUUUUCACCCCCAUGGCAUCUGAGAAGCAUAGAGAGAUAAGGAAGAAAAGACAGGGGCAAGAUAGUCCCCAAGGGCAUAACUCCAAGGACCCACUCCCUCCAAGUAGUUUCUGCCUUCUAUAGUUUCCACACCCUCCCAAUAUUUGAUUCAGCUAUGAAUCCCUUAAUACAUUAGUACAUUGAUGAGGUCAGAGCCUCGUGAUUCAAUCACUUUUUAAAAUCCCCACUUCUGAACAUUGCUUCAUUGGAGAAUUAAGCCUUCAGUACAUGAAACUUUGGAAGACUUUCCAGGUCCAUACCAUAACAUGAUAAUAUAGAGUC
rnacentral:lncRNA from 1 species